rnacentral:rRNA from 1 species
AGUGAACGCUGGCGGUAGGCCUAACACAUGCAAGUCGAACGGCAGCACAGUAAGAGCUUGCUCUUACGGGUGGCGAGUGGCGGACGGGUGAGGAAUACAUCGGAAUCUACUUUUUCGUGGGGGAUAACGUAGGGAAACUUACGCUAAUACCGCAUACGCCCUACGGGUGAAAGCAGGGGAUCUUCGGACCUUGCGCGAUUGAAUGAGCCGAUGUCGGAUUAGCUAGUUGGCGGGGUAAAGGCCCACCAAGGCGACGAUCCGUAGCUGGUCUGAGAGGAUGAUCAGCCACACUGGAACUGAAACACGGUCCAGACUCCUACGGGAGGCAGCAGUGGGGAAUAUUGGACAAUGGGCGCAAGCCUGAUCCAGCCAUACCGCGUGGGUGAAGAAGGCCUUCGGGUUGUAAAGCCCUUUUGUUGGGAAAGAAAAGCAGCAGGUUAAUACCCCGCUGUUCUGACGGUACCCAAAGAAUAAGCACCGGCUAACUUCGUG